rnacentral:rRNA from 1 species
AACCUUUACACUGCACGACAGUGCGAUAGGGGGACUCCGAGUGCGAGGGCAUACAGUCCUCGCUUUUCUGUACCGUAAGGUGGUACAGGAACAAGUGCUGGGCAAGACCGGUG